rnacentral:rRNA from 1 species
GAUAAACGCUGGCGGCGCACAUAAGACAUGCAAGUCGAACGAACUUAAUACCUUGCUUGCAAGGUAAGCGGUUAGUGGCGGACUGGUGAGUAACACGUAAGAAAUCUGCCUAUCAGAGGGGAAUAACAGUGAGAAAUCACUGCUAAUACCGCAUAUGCCAUAGGAAUCGCAUGAUUCCAGUGGGAAAGGAGCAAUCCGCUGAUAGAUGAGCUUGCGUCUGAUUAGCUAGUUGGUGGGGUAAAGGCCUACCAAGGCGACGAUCAGUAGCCGGACUGAGAGGUUGAACGGCCACAUUGGGACUGAGAUACGGCCCAG